ACGGAGGGUGCGAGCGUUGUCCGGAAUCAUUGGGCGUAAAGGGCGCGUAGGUGGCUUCUCAAGCGUGCGGUGAAAGCCUGGGGCUCAACCCCGGGUCGGCCGUGCGAACUGGGGGGCUGGAGCACUGUAGAGGCAGGCGGAAUUCCGGGUGUAGCGGUGGAAUGCGUAGAGAUCCGGAAGAACACCGGUGGCGAAGGCGGCCUGCUGGGCAGUUGCUGACACUGAGGCGCGACAGCGUGGGGAGCAAACAGGA
rnacentral:rRNA from 1 species